UACAGAGGGGGCAAGCGUUGUUCGGAAUUACUGGGCGUAAAGGGCGCGUAGGCGGCCCGCUAAGUCGAACGUGAAAUCCCCGAGCUCAACUCGGGAACUGCGUCCGAUACUGGCGGGCUUGAAUCCGGGAGAGGGAUGCGGAAUUCCAGGUGUAGCGGUGAAAUGCGUAGAUAUUGGGAGGAACACCAGUGGCGAAGGCGGCUCACUGGACCGGAACUGACGCUGAGGCGCGAAAGCGUGGGGAGCAAACAGG
rnacentral:rRNA from 1 species